AUUGAACGCUGGCGGCAGGCUUAACACAUGCAAGUCGAACGAGCGGCAGCCGGGUGAGUAAUGUCUGGAAAACUGCCUGAGGUAUGGGGAUAACUACUGAAAACGGUAGCAAAUACCGCAUACCAUCAGGUGUGCCGCGCGGGGAUGAGCUCGUAGGUGGGGUAAUGGCGCACCUAGGCGACGAUCCCUAGCGGGUCUGCUAGGAUGACCAGCCAAACUGGAACUGUGACACUGUCCAGACGCGUACGGGAGGCAGCAGUGGGGGAUAUUGCAUAAUGUGCGCAAGCCUGAUGCAGCCAUGCCGCGUGUGUGAAGAAGGCCUUCGGGGCGUAAAGCUCUUUCAGCGAUGAGGCGUUACGCGCAGAAGAAGCACCGGCUAACUCCGUGCCAGCAGCCGCGGUAAUAC
rnacentral:rRNA from 1 species